ensembl:lncRNA
CACACAUGGAGCAUUGGAUGCUUGGAGGCACCCGGGAACCCGCAGCACCCUGGGGGCACGGGAAAAGAGGAGCAUUUCACAUUUCACAGGUAUUUUCAAGGAGGGUGUGGGACACCUUUGCUCAGGACCUGGAUAAAUAGAAAACAGGAAGGGGAAUGGGGUGCCCUGACUGAGCACGAGGGGCAGAGAGCAGCAUGGUUUGUGCCAGACCAAAAACACCAACUGGGUCUUGUGCGAUGCCGAGGAAGUCCCGCUGUGCCAGGGCUGGAGCUCGGGCUGGCAGCAGGAAGGCGGCUGCCAGGACGGGCUUCCGCAAGACUUCCUCUCCCGUGGCCCUUCGUUAGGGAAUUAGGACGUAAGGAGAGAAGGCAGCAGGGAGGAAACGAGCCCGGGGAGCCGCCGCCGGGGGAGUUUGGGGGCUCUGCCCUGGCCCUGCCUGCUCUCGGUAGGGAGGGGAGGAAGGGCAGGCUCAUGGCCUCGGGGAGGCUGAGCUCACGGGCGCCUGGAGCUGCCCAGGGUGCCCAGCCAGGGGACAGCCAGGGCACCCCACGAGCCAGGCCAGCAGGCUGGUGCUGGGGAAAGGGAGAGAGCGUGGAGCUGGGGAGCAGCGCAGCAGCGGGAGCAGUGGAGCAGUGGGAACAGUGGGAGCAGUGGGGUCAGUGGGAGCAGUGGGAGCAGUGGGAUCAAUGGGAGCAGUGGGAUCAGUGGGAGCAGUGGGAUCAGUGGGGUCAAUGGGAGCAGUGGGAUCAGUGGGAUCAAUGGGAGCAGUGGGAUCAAUGGGAGCAGUGGGAGCAGUGGGAUCAAUGGGAGCAGUGGGAUCAGUGGGGUCAAUGGGAUCAGUGGGAGCAGUGGGAUCAGUGGGGUCAAUGGGAGCAGUGGGAUCAAUGGGAACAGUGGGAUCAGUGGGAUCACUGGGAGCAGCAGCACGUUAGGCUGCAGGCUCUGUGCCAUGGAAUGGAGGGUUGGGCACAGAGCUGAUGAGCCUGGCAUGGGUCAUCAGGCACCUGCCAGCAGCUAAACCUGCACGGGGCAGUCUCCAGCCUCGGUGUGGGCAGGGUCCAUCCCAGCCGUGGGCACCCACAGGAACAGUGGGGAUGAGCCCCAAAGGAGGUGGGAUGGAAAGCAUUUAUCCACAGAGCUGGAGCUGGUGAGGUGGAUGGGUUGGAUCCCCUAUGAGUGGGUGGGCUGGAGCCCAUGUGGGGUACUCGGAGCCCCUCACCUGUCCCCGGAAUCCCCCUCCCAACCCUGCUGUAUGAUGUUCUAACCACACCUCCCUGGGACAGCCUGGCCUUUGCCCUUCCAGGCUCCAGUCUGGAUGUAGCCUCAGCUCCAUGCCAGCUCCCAAAACCAGCAGGUGACAAUGCUGGAAUAGCCCCAGCUGCUCUCCCUGGAGGGCUCUGAGCCCACUGCCCCCCAUCUCCUGGGAUCAGGGAGGCUGAAUCCCCCCAUGAUAUCCUUCCAGCUCCAUCUCUAGGUGCUGCUGGCCUUUCCAAGCUAAGCAAAGGGGAACACCUGCCCUCCCAAGCUGGCUCCCCGUGUCCUCCCCACGCAGGGGCAGGACGGGCAGCAGGGACGGCGCUUUCAGCCGCUCGCUAUUUUUAAUUGCUCUUUCCCAGAAAGGCUGGUGCAGGCUCCUAAAGCUGCUUCCAGCUGGGAGUUUGGAAAGCUGGUUCCAGUUAGGCGCCCGGCGCUCGCUGCGCUCCGAGCUGUUAUUUUUAGAAGGGCUGAAGGCAACAGCCCCACUCCCCAGGCUGCUGCUCGGCUCUGGCCAAGUUCCCUUGCCGGCAGGACCCUGCUGGACCCUUGGCUGGGGACAUCCUGGUGGCGUCACUUUAUGAUUGCCCUUUUUUCUGGUGCUUUUUUGGCAGGGAAGGACUUUCAUCUCCCCGUGUCAAGCUGUGCAGUCAGGAAGACCAAAGGCAGAGGAUGUGAGCAGUGGUCAUCCCUGAAGGGCCAGGGCGCAGAGCAGCAUCUUCUG